GAUGAACGCUGGCGGCGUGCCUAAUACAUGCAAGUCGAGCGAACGGACGAGAAGCUUGCUUCUCUGAUGUUAGCGGCGGACGGGUGAGUAACACGUGGAUAACCUACCUAUAAGACUGGGAUAACUUCGGGAAACCGGAGCUAAUACCGGAUAAUAUUUUGAACCGCAUGGUUCAAAAGUGAAAGACGGUCUUGCUGUCACUUAUAGAUGGAUCCGCGCUGCAUUAGCUAGUUGGUAAGGUAACGGCUUACCAAGGCAACGAUGCAUAGCCGACCUGUGAGGGUGAUCGGCCACACUGGAACUGAGACACGGUCCAGACUCCUACGGGAGGCAGCAGUCGGGAAUCUUCCGCAAUGGGCGAAAGCCUGACGGAGCAACGCCGCGUGAGUGAUGAAGGUCUUCGGAUCGUAAAACUCUGUUAUUAGGGAAGAACAUAUGUGUAAGUAACUGUGCACAUCUUGACGGUACCUAAUCAGAAAGCCACGGCUAACUACGUG
rnacentral:rRNA from 1 species